AUUGAACGAGGGAGGAAGGAGGGACACAGGCAAGGAGAAGGGUAGAGGGGGCAAGAGAGGGAGAGGGGCGAAUGGGUGAGGAAGAGAUCGGAACGUGCCCAGUCGUGGGGGAGAAGGGAGAGAAAGUUACGCUAAUACCGCAUACGAGUUAAGGAUGAAAGCGGGGGAUCGCAAGACCGAGAGAGACGGGAGCGGCCGAUAUCAGAUUAGGUAGUUGGUGGGGUAAAGGCUCACCAAGCCAACGAUCUGUAGCUGGUCUGAGAGGACGACCAGCCACACUGGAACGGAGACACGGUCCAGACUCCUACGGGAGGCAGCAGUGGGGAAUUUUGGACAAUGGACGCAAGUCUGAUCCAGCCAUUCCGCGUGCAGGAUGAAGGCCCUCGGGUUGUAAACUGCUUUUGUACGGAACGAAAAGGUCUCUCUUAAUACGGGGGACUCAUGACGGUACCGUAAGAAUAAGCACCGGCUAACUACGUGCCAGCAGCCGCAGUAA
rnacentral:rRNA from 1 species